rnacentral:rRNA from 1 species
GAUGAACGCUGGCGGCGUGCCUAAUACAUGCAAGUCGAGCGAACAGAUAAGGAGCUUGCUCCUUUGACGUUAGCGGCGGACGGGUGAGUAACACGUGGGUAUCCUACCUAUAAGACUGGGAUAACUUCGGGAAACCGGAGCUAAUACCGGAUAACAUUUGGAACCGCAUGGUUCUAAAGUGAAAGAUGGUUUUGCUAUCACUUAUAGAUGGACCCGCGCCGUAUUAGCUAGUUGGUAAGGUAACGGCUUACCAAGGCGACGAUACGUAGCCGACCUGAGAGGGUGAUCGGCCACACUGGAACUGAGACACGGUCCAGACUCCUACGGGAGGCAGCAGUAGGGAAUCUUCCGCAAAGGGCGAAAGCCUGACGGAGCAACGCCGCGUGAGUGAUGAAGGGGUUCGGCUCGUAAAACUCUGUUAUUAGGGAAGAACAAAUGUGUAAGUAACUGUGCACGUCUUGACGGUACCUAAUCAGAAAGCCACGGCUAACUACGUG